GGGAAGAGAAGAAGACGCUGCCAUGCGGUAGGUUGUCAGUGACUGAGAGGGAGAAGGGGAGGGGCGCUCGCGCGGUGGCCUGCUCGGCUGGCUGGGCCGAGAGGGGAGCAAGGUGAGUUGGGCUUCUGCUGAAUAGGGAUGGGGCUCCUUCCUUUUUUUGUUUUCUAUUUUCUUUCUUUUUAUUUCAAAGCCAUUUUCAAAAUAGGAGU
rnacentral:lncRNA from 1 species